GGUAGUGAGUUUAACACCUGCAUUAUUUUGACGUUACCUACAGAAGAAGCACCGGCUAACUCCGUGCCAGCAGCCGCGGUAAUACGGAGGGUGCGAGCGUUAAUCGGAAUUACUGGGCGUAAAGCGCAUGCAGGCGGCCGUCGUUAAGUUCAGAUGUGAAAGACCCGGGGCGUUAACCUCGGAAUUGCAUUUGAAACUGGCAGGCUAGAGUCUUGUAGAGGGGGGUAGGAAGUUUCUAGGUGUAGCGGUGAAAUGCGUAGAGAUCUGAAGGAAUACCAGUGGCGAAGGCGGCCCCCUCGGACAAAGACUGACGCUCAGAUGCGAAAGCGUGGGGAGCAAACAGGAUUAGAUACCCCUGGUAG
rnacentral:rRNA from 1 species